ACGACUCUCGGCAACGGAUAUCUUGUCUUUUGCAUC
rnacentral:rRNA from 1 species